rnacentral:rRNA from 1 species
UACGUAGGGUGCGAGCGUUGUCCGGAAUUACUGGGCGUAAAGAGCUCGUAGGUGGUUUGUCGCGUUGUCCGUGAAAACUCACAACUCAAUUGUGGGCGUGCGGGCGAUACGGGCAGACUGGAGUACUGCAGGGGAGACUGGAAUUCCUGGUGUAGCGGUGAAAUGCGCAGAUAUCAGGAGGAACACCGAUGGCGAAGGCAGGUCUCUGGGCAUUAACUGACGCUGAGACGCGAAAGCGUGGGGAGCGAACAGG